GAACGCUAGCGGCAGGCUUAACACAUGCAAGUCGAGGGGUAUAGGGAGCUUGCUCCUAGAGACCGGCGCACGGGUGACGUAACGCGUAUGCAAUCUACCUUUGCAGAGGGAUAGCCCAGAGAAAUUUGGAUUAAUACCUCAUAGUAUAGCAGUUUCGCAUGAAACCACUAUUAAAGUCACAACGGCAAAAGAUGAGCAUGCGUCCCAUUAGCUAGUUGGUAAGGUAACGGCUUACCAAGGCUACGAUGGGUAGGGGUCCUGAGAGGGAGAUCCCCCCACACUGGUACUGAGACACGGACCAGACUCCUACGGGAGGCAGCAGUGAGGAAUAUUGGACAAUGGGCGCAAGCCUGAUCCAGCCAUGCCGCGUGCAGGAUGACGGUCCUAUGGAUUGUAAACUGCUUUUAUACAGGAAGAAACACUCCGACGUGUCGGAGCUUGACGGUACUGUAAGAAUAAGGAUCGGCUAACUCCGUG
rnacentral:rRNA from 1 species